CUCUCUCUCUCUCUCUCUCUCUCUCUCUCUCUCUCUCUCUCUCUCUCUCUCUCUCUCUGUGAUUGGUUGGAGGGAACAAUGGUGACUAGGGUCGGAAGGUGCCAUUGAGAGGCUAUUGUGAUGGGUUGUCUAGGUGACAAGAUGAUAGAAUGGAGGGGAGAAACAUUUGAGGUAGAAACAUGGUUCAGAGGUAGAGACAAAAUUAAGGCAUUGAAGGUGAGACCCGUUUCCCUGUGUUACUGAAUGGAUGCGGAAGCAGUUGAUACGAUGUCUGCAACCAGAGAGGAACAGGUCUGAGGGAGGGAGAACAGGCAGUCAUCAGAGGCUCUUUGAUCUUGGAAAUCAAAAUUGUUGUUUUGUACAUUGUGUCUUGGACAACUGUGCUUAGCUGUAGGGAACCAAAACUUAACAGACGACACCUUAAACAAGUCAGCUAUUUAAUUAAUCGAGUCACCUGCACACAGUAGCACUCCAGAGAUAGAAUUAGCUAGGAAUAGAAUUAGCUAAGAUGGCAGUCUGUGAAUGGCGCCGAGACCCCAGGCACAUGACCUCUUCUCCUUGGCCCUUCUUCCUCUGCCCCUCACCCUCUUCAAAGUGAUCUGGAUGCAGCAGCCCUAGGCAUCAGUGGCCUCAGCACCCAAGGUUAAAGAUGUGAUAGGUUAAAAAGGGAGGGGGAAGUGAAGUGGAAAUUUCUGGAUUCUUUGGAUCCUCAGUUGUGUCGGGUGAUGGUUUUCUGGAAACUAUCUUAUGAAAUGGUGUUUUGUUGAAGCAGACGUGUGGGAAGAGGUUUUGUUGAGAACAUACAUGUGGAGUUUUUCUGGAAGCUGCCUGGCAAGAGGGCGUGUGAUGUUUUGCUGGAGCGGAGGCUUGAGAGGACCUGCGAUGUUUGAAAAGUGUAUAAGUAUAACCCAGUGGACAGUGGAUUGUUCUUGCCCCUCAUUGCUGGUCUCCAUUGGUCUUUGCUGACGCUGGUCUUUGCUGAUGACUCUCUAGCUCUGGUUCACUUUGCCUUUUUCAUUGAAACACACCAAAGACCCUCUCGUGAUAUUCUAGCAGCUUCUUGUCUCUCAGUUUCUUCUGGAUCAAACUGCUAUUACAGAUCUGUGAACAGUAUCUUUAAAUGGAUUGUGCUACUGCUGCUGAUUAGAGUGAACUGAAUUGCUAAUAUCCUGACAAUGAAGAGUGGAAUCACCCCAGAGAACUAUUUCUAAACAGGUCCACAUCCCCCUUUGGCCUAUUAACCUUUCCUUUCUACUACCUCUGGUGAGUGGUUUGUUGGAAGGGAGGUUAAAGCGUUUAAGAACCCGUAUUAACGUAAGUUUUGAAAAAUCUAAACCUACAGGAAAAUAUUCCAGAAACUCCCAGCAGAAUUGUAAAAAUCUCACUGACCAGAACUACGUGUGAGUAACUGUAGAUCAAGGAGCUUGAGGUCUGGUUGGAUACAGUGGCCCACGGGACACAAUAAGGGCACUUUCAAGAGUAGGAGGUGAGUGGACAGUGUGGAUCCAGGCAAUGGGCAAUAUCGUCAAGGCCAAGUUAAACUUCCUGGUGAACAUUCCCGUGGAAAGUCAUGUGAGGUUGGGAAAACAAACACCGAGAGAGAGCUUGUUUUAGAGGGAGAGCAGAAGUGACGGUAAGAGCUUGGAUAUGUAACCGUUACUUUUCUCAUGUCUGAUGACACACGCACAGGCACGCACGCACGCACGCACACAUGUAGCAAGAGAAGUGUAAGGAAGUGUGAUAGCUAGUCUUCGCUGUCAACUCAACAGGAUUUAGAAUCACUAUAGAAUCUAUCUCUGGGCAUAGCCUGCAAGGAACUUCCUAGAGUAGGUUUAUUGCGGUGAGGAGACCCAGACUAAACAUAGGAAGCAGGCAGCGCAGUUCUGUGGGCUGGGCCCGGGCUGAAUUAAAGGGAGCGUGCGAGCGAGCGUGCGACCUAAAAAGCAAGCGGAGCACCUGUCGACUUAGAUUUUUCAAAACCUACUUUAAUAAGGGUUCUCAAACACUUCGACUCUCCUUCUAGUCCACCACCCAAAGGCAGGGAGAAAAGACGGUAAACAGGACAAGGGGACCUGCUUAGUAGUUCCUCGGGGGUGAUUCUAAUCUCCAUUUAUCAGGUUACCAGCAGUUCAGUUCAGUAGUGCCAGGAUAGGGAGCCAGCAGAACCAGCCUCGAUGCCAGGAGUUCUCUGCCGUACCCAGCUCUCCCUCGGUGAGGAUCACUGAAGACAGGAGACCAACUAAGCGUUGCAAGGUUAGGUAUACGGGCACCCUGUUGAGUCCUAUUUAUACUCUCUCCAAAUAUCACAUGUCCUCCCACAGGUCUUGACUCAGCAAAACACCAUGUGAGUCUAUAUCACAUGACACGACCGGAAGCUUCUACUUCAAGCACCAGUGUUCAUCUCUCUGCUUCCCGAUUGUGGAUGCCAUGUGACCCGCUCCUCGUGCUCUGGCCACUGUCCCUUCCCUGUCAUGAUAAACUGUACCUUCAAAUUCUGGGCCAAAAUAAGCCCUUCUUUUCUUAAGUUGCUUUUACAGUGACUAGAACCACUUCACUGAACCCAAUCUAGAAACUCCCUUAUGAUGUACCAAGAUGUUUGUCUCCUUGGCCAUUUCUAGAUUCUGCCACGUGGACAAUUUAUAGUAAUCACCACGGGAAGUUAUUAGGGUGUGGCCAUGUUAAAAUCCAAGAGGGAAUAUGACAUAUAUUAGGAAGGGAAUAUUGUUUGGAACUUGUCAAUUUUGGGCUUAUUACUGUGACUUGUUUUAAUUUUAUUACCUCAGUAAAAAUUUUAACAUAUACCUUCCUUAGAUCAGAAACUGUUUUGGAUUCUCAAAGCUCUCAAAGAUGUCUGUCUUUCUUUCUCUUUCUUUCUUUCUUUCUUUCUUUCUUUCUUUCUUUCUUUCUUUCUUUCUUUCUUUCUUUCCCAAGAAGUUUACAGAUGUGAAGAAAGCACUGUAGUUUUACACAGGGGUGGUUUUGGUGGUUUUUUUUUUUUUAAUAAUAUGUACUAAAGUUAACUCAUUGUUCUAGUUGUUGUGAUAAACAUCCUGAGAAAAAGCAGCUUGAGGGAGGGGAGAUUUAGUUUAGCUUGUUGCUCCAGAUUACCGUCCAUCGUUGAAGGAAGUCAAGGUAAGGACCCGAGGGAGGAACUUGAAGGCAGGCAAGCCUGCUUGCCAUUUUGCACAGCACUGCCUUCAACCAAGGAGUUAAUUUCAUAGCUAAGAAGUAUAGCAGUAAUGGAGAAUGUCAUUUGAUUGCAGACAGGCUUAUACUCAAACCAGCCUUGGUUUAUAGUUCAGAAACCCAGCCAAGGGAUUGUGCCACCCACAGUGGGCUGGGCCCUCAUUUAUCCAUUAACAAUCAAGACACUCCUCCACAGACAUGCUCACCAGUCCAUCUGAGAUAGGUAAUUUCAGUGUAGCCUCUCCUCUCGAUGGGUCUUGGACUGAGUGAGGUUGAGAGUUAAAGCUAACAGGGACUCAUCUACAUAGACUCCUUAUAAUGCGUCUGAGUAACUGAUAGUUUUACAGCAGAUUCACUUUUUAAGGUGAGAAUAUAAAUAAUUUAUGGUAAGCAGUGUACUGCCUAUGUAUGAAUGUAUGCUCAUUUCAAUUUGGAAUUUUUUUAAAAAAAAGUCCAAGUUUUAAAAUAGAAUCAAAUAACAAUCUUAAUAGUAAGGUGACCAUUAAAAUCAAUGUAAUGUGGUAUAGAAUGUUAAAUUGAUUUUGAUAUUUUACUUGUCAUGUGACUCUGGUUAGACUAGGAUUGAAGAGUCCUUUCUUAAUUUCUACUUCUUAUUUCUCUUGGGAGUCCCAAGGAUGCUCAGUGUUAUCAUGGUCCAAAUUAAGUCCUUCAUCUUUCCCACCUCCAGGUCCUUCCCCUGAAUCAGGUUUUCCUGGAUUCUUCCGACCCCACCCCACCCUCCCCACCCCCCUGCAAUGAGUCACUCUCUCAUCCUUUUGACCUAUGCAAGAACUCAAAGGGCCGGUCUAGAGAAUAGUCUCUUUCACUUUGCCUUUUAUUAGUGACACUUGGUGACCUCUCUGCUGGACUGUCAGCUCCUCACCUCUGCUCCUAGCCGGGCUCUUUGAGAAGCCGUCUCUGUGGCUGAAUCGAGAGAGUCUCCUAAGCUGAACUGUCCAGUCUGUUGUUUGGCCAACUCUCUUCCGGAAUCCCACUCCCACUGAUGUUCUACAAUCCCAAUCUACUUUAAAUCUCUCAGGCUGAGUGGACAUACACAAGACUCUAUAUGCAGAAAUUCACAGAGCCCACAGUACGUAAAUGUGUACAUGCAGACCAUUAAGACAGGAUGAUGUUUAAGAUAGUCCUAAACCCCGAGUCACAACGAAGCUAUUAUUCUCAGGCCUACCGAGGAACACUUCACCACACACCUUUAUAAAGGGCUUUAUAGAACCCGGAGUAUGAAAUUUGAUCUACAGAAAGAAACUAGUUGCAUCACCAUGACCAUGGGCCCUCCUAUGACCCAGUCCCCACCUUCCUUAGAAGCCUCGGAUGACCUCUCCCCAUUGUGAACUUCAUGUCUCAUAACAAAAAAACCACAUCCCGUUCCUGUGUACAGUGUGCCCCUCCCCAUGAUUCUGGUAGAGCAGUUUCCUCUUUAUCCACCCCCCCCCCCCAUAUGUGUGUGUAUGUGUUUGGUUACCUAUGCUUGUUACUCAACUCUGGGCUUAAGGAAUUCCAUGUUGAGCUAAAUAUGUGUCUUCUGAGGUCCAGCUACCAUAGCAUAAACACGAACACAACUUGUAUCCGUCUCUUUUCACGCUACCUGUGGGGAAAAGUCCAAGUGACUGGGAGGUGGAGUUGGUAGUAGCAGUAGCAAUGGGGUAGCGAUGGUGGUGAUACUCAGCUGCUGUAGAGGAAGCAGGUAAGGCUGAGGGGGCUGAGGAACCACCCGUUGGAUGCUUCUGCAGUAGGGGAUGAGCUGGGGUGUGAACUCAGACAGCUAGCUCCUAAGGCUGCACCUGAAUAUCUGACAGCAGCGUGAGAGCUGGCAAUGGGCCCUUGGCAAGUGCUCAAUGAUGUAAAUGACGUGUGUGCUCCCUCUACUUCACCCACCUAGCGUUAUGGAAGUCGAGUACGAUGUAGCAAAGAGAAUCAUUUUGUGGUUCCGUUUCACUUCCGGCAAAACCAGUAGCAGAAAAAUGGGGGAGCUGAGGGAUGACCAGCUAAUUUACCAAAUUACCAGAAGCAUGCUUGCUGUCUCAGACUUGUGCUCCUGGUGUGGACAGCCCUUGGUGUUAGCCUCUGCAGAAGAAAAAUAACCUGGUGUUUGAUGACAACUCUCUAUCUGGUCACCUGUCUUGCCAUGUGAAACCCGGUGGGAGUCUCUUGUUGGAAGUGAACAUGAAACUUUUUCUACCUCAAAGAUGCUUUCAUGUACAAAAAGAUGUAUGAGUUUCCAAGUGGUGUUAGCAGUUUGAUAAAAUGCUACAUGUGAGCGGACUGCUGCUUCUGCUCAGACGAAGCUGUUUUUCAGAGCUACAGGUAAAUCUAUGAUAGUCUCUGUACGUUAAAAUAUUGCUAGGUGACUUGGGAAUAAUUGAAGUGUCUUCAAAUGGGUCUGUGAACUGGUAUUUUUAAUUUAAAAAGUUCAAAUAUAUUAUUUUUGUAAUGGUCUGUGAAGAUCAAAAGUCAUCCCAGACUGAUUAUACCUUUGAAUUAUAAAUGUGGGGUCAUGAUCUCCAUAAGCUUUUCUUUGCUUCUUCAUUAAAAUGCUCAGAUGAAAGGAAACAUUGAAAGCAGAAUAUUGGCUUAUAAAUAAUAAUACUAAUAAAAAGGUGGUAACUUCCACUGUAUAUGCUUUAUGAUUUUGUUAUAGAGUCUAUUUUGCGAUAGAACAAAUAAUCUAUUGUUUAGAAUAAAGACCUAUAUAACUUUCUGUCCUGUGCUAAGCCAGCACUGGGAGUACUUGCAAGGGCCUUGACGUUUGCUUGGUUGUUUACCACGAGCUGCUUCGUUGGUAAUCAAUUGUUUAAUCGCCCGUGUUACAAGUCUUUCAUGUUAAAGAAACAUACUUACUAGUUCCUAUUUUUCUCCUGUCUCGUCGUUAACGAGUUAUUUCUUCCCUAACAGAUAGGCAAGACCUAGCUUGAGCUUGCCCUGGCCUCUCACUGGGGUCUUUUUUCACUCUGAUUUCUGUGCUCUCACUGCACACCUGGCCACUCAGGUCGGCAAACUCAGCCAUCUCCUCUUUCAUUGUCGGACUCAUCUCCCAGCACUUGCCUGAAUCAGUCUUUAGAAAAUGCCCACUCGAGCGUGGUUCUUUCUUUGUUCUUGGGUCUACUGUGUGUUCUCACACUGGGGGGGGGGUGGGAGGAAAAUAAAAUAAAAUGAUUUUUUUUCUUUAAAAAAGCCCGCUAUGAUUAAAAACAUUAAAGCUGAACUUGGGAUGCUCACAGUAAACGGAUUACACAAAAUCCACCAACCCACAGGAUCUUCUGUUUCCAUUUACCAGUGAACUAUCAAUGUAAGCCCCAAAGACAGAGCUCUCCAAGCUCAGGUAGGAAAUCUGGGCGAGGUUUACAGGGUAAUGUUUCCUUUUCCCAUCUCCAGAAUACUUUUACUGAAACCAAGGUGACCUAUUUCCUCCUAAGUCAAUGGUCUGGCUUCACGCCCUCCCUGUCUUGUGGGAAGGCACAUAUGUGUGGCAAGCCAGUUCUGCUUUUUGUUUAAACUGGGCGAAGAGGUCAUCCAGUUUCGAAUCCAGCUCUUGUCAUGGUCAGAAAACAUUUUCCUUAUUAGCUGGGGCACAGUCUCAUCUGCGGGCCAUAUUGGGUCAUUUGGUUGACCUGGGCCAAGGAAGAUAAGCAACUUUUGGAGGUUCCACUUAACCUUUGAGUGUGUGGGUCUGAUGUACCUGGGUGUGGAGCAUGUGGAACUUUGGGGAGGCGGAAGUAGGUGCCUUAGCUGUUUGCUGACUUUCGUGAUACCAAAUGGGGAAGCUAAGCGUUCUGGCUCCGGUCUCUCCUGAAGCAAAGAGUAACUUCGCAAUAGCAUUCUGGCCAACCAGCAGAUGCCAAGUUCUGCUGCAUGGGUCUUAGGGGGCCCCUUUAUUUCCUGAUGGAAAGGACUGGAAGCUGUUGGCACUUUUCUCUCAACCUGUUUAGUCUGACCUAGCUAUGACACGUGCGGUUACUCUACUCUUUCUGCAACUUUGAGACUAUAAAUUGGUAAGGCAAACUGUGUGUGAUAGCUUAUGCCUGAAUCCCAGCACUUAAAAGACUGAGGCAGGAGGACCCCAAGUUCCAGGUCCAGCUGGGCUACAUAACAAGACACUUUUCUUAAAAUAAAACAAAGCAACCCCCUCCUCCAAGCCAGAAAACAGGUAAUUAUGGAAGACUGCCCUCCCCGUAUCGUGGAGUCCCGCGUGGUGCCACAGGACCUCUUCCACCUUUGUGUCUUACACAGGAAGCAAAUCUACCCUGUAACUUCAUUAUAUUGCUACAAACUAUUUGGUCCUCUCCCAUGAAAAGUCACAGCUUAAGCCCCCCUCUCUGGAACCCAGCUUCCCUGAUUUUCUUCUAGCAAACAGAACCCAGGAGGAGAGAUGAUGACUGAAUCCCAGCCCUCCUGUGCCUUACAAAGUGAUACAGUUUCUACCUCUUGCUUUGACAUGUGUCCUGGUCCUAUAGCUGACAUGCUAGAAUUAUCCUACAUAAGAAGCUGAAAGUCGGAGAAACCAUGUGGGGUCCACAGAGGGCUAGCGGUGACAGAGGAACCCCAGUUACCUAUCUCAGGCUUCCCAGUGAGAAAUGCCAAACUGGAGUGUGCCAGCCUGCACAAGGUGCCCAUCCCCAGUCUUCAAGGUACUCUCAUGGAUGCAAAGGGGAACAGACAAGAUGGCUUCCUCUAAGCCAGUGGUUCUCAACGUGUGGGUCACGACCCCUUUGGGCUGACAUAUUAGGUAUGUCCAUGACCCAGGGUAGCAAAAUUAGUUAUGAAGUAGCAACCAAAAUAACUUCAUGGUGGUGGUGGUGGGGUUAACCACAACAUGAGGAACUAAAGGGUUCCAGCAUUAGGAAGGUUGAGAGCCAGUGGUUAAGCCCUUCCCAAAUUGCAGAUUCAUGAACCAAAGUGCACAUUAUUACAAGCUGUAAGUUCCGGACAUGGUUUGUAACACAAUAACAAACCCAAACUUCUUACCUUUACGCCUCAACUCAUUGGACAUUUUUGUGACUUGUAGUUUAAAAUAUACCUACCUGGACCAUUUAACAGAGAUGAAAAAAAAAAUAGCUUCAGUGGUUCGUUUGAGUCCUGUGUGCCGAUUGUCUAUCUUGACACCCCACCCCACCCCCAACCUCUGGUUGUGUUCAUCAACUUUGCCAGAGGGCUGUAUUACAAUUUGCCCCUUAUGGUGAUACUGACUUAAUUACAUACAUGUUUUAUUUAUAAUCGGUCUGGGCUGUCAACUUUGUGGCGAUCCUUCAUUUCAGCAAUCUGGAGGCAGAGGCGGGCAGAUCUCUGACUUCAAAGCCAACUUGGCCUACACAGUGAGUCUAGGCUGGCCAGGGCAGCAUGGCAAAGUCAGGGUACCAUGGAUGCCAUACUCUUUCUUGCCCCUCUGGUAUUGUGAUACUAACAAGCAGCAGUCAUCACUUAUUGCCAAAGCCUGAGAGUCUGCUUCCUCGGAUUCACCUCAGGGUUCCAAUAUGUCUUCCUCACAAAGCCCUCCUAGUGUCUGACAGCUUUGUUCUUUCUCUGACGUUUGCAGCUUUUUAAAGAGAUGAAUAUUUAGUGUCAUGUUCCACAGGCCAGAUUCUUUGAAGCAAAAUACCAUGAGUUAGUUCUCCCUCUUUAAAGACCUAAUGGUCACUCAUUACUGAUGGGAUCCCUCGGAAGCCUUCACAGAUGAUUUUAAUAAUAAAUGCAUUGAUAAGCCUACCAUUCAUAUACUAAGUACUAAAAUCCAUUAUUUUCUUAUUACCUAGUGACAGAGAUUCCCAAGACAGCUGUGCAAUACAGUGUGGGCAGCUGUCCCGUAGCACUGAAGUUUUAAGCAUGAACAGAACUGUUACUCCCAAGGGCUGGUUUCAUGGAGGCUAACUGCAUGGUAGAAAUGUCUAUUCACUCAAUGUCCACGCCCUUAAAUGCACACUGGGAUGGAGCAGAGCAAGUGUCUGAUGUACCGAGGAGGCACGGGUGUGUGGAGGCUAGGUUGGGGGCAGAGAGGGUUCUUGUAGAGACGCCACACAAAUGAUAUCAUAUGCAGAAGCCGCUGCUGGGAUUGGAAAAAUGGCUGGGCAGGGAGCUUCAGCCUCUCUUGGAUCUGACUGUUUGAUUUAGUGUCUUUCAGGGUCACACUUGUAUCCCUGGGUGGGCUGGAAAAUCUGUUCGAGUGCACUAAUACUUAAUAGAAGCCCUGAGUGGUAAUUUAAAGAGCCUGGCAUGCCUUUUUUUUUUUUUUUUUUUUUUUUGUUAUAAGCAGGAAGAUGCCCGAGUGCAAAAGCUGAGCUAAUAUCUCACUGUGACGCCAAACCAGGGCAGAUGUUCCUUGCUGGGUCUCAAAUGCGGUUGCUUCCAGCACGAUUUCCUUCAGUGAACAGGAAACACUAAGAGAGGAGAGAGACAAUUGCCUUUCACAGCAGCCCCCGCAGCCAGCAAGAACAAGCAUUCAUUUCUUCUAGAAUAUUCUACCAAAUGAGGAACUGAAUUAGGGAUGCAGCAAACAGUGCUUUGUAUUGGUGCUACCUGAUGUUUUAAUUUUUGUAACCUGUGGAAAAUAUGCUGUUCCUGCAUCUUGCUUUCAGAGAUUCCUUGGGACUGGUAUCAUCCUUUUACAUGACUCCAAGCCCCCUUUAAUUCUGGUGCAUGCAUGUGUUUCUUUCUCUCUCUCUGUCUCUGUCGCUGUGUUUCUGUUUCUCUGUCUGUCUCUCUGUCUGUCUCUGUCUCUGUCUCUGUGUCUCUCUGUCUCUCUGUCUCUCUGUCUCUCUGUCUCUCUCUCUCUCUCUCUCUCUCUCUCUCUCUCUCUCUCUCUCUGUGUGUGUGUGUGUGUGAAUAUAAGACUGUAGUGGUGGUGGAAGUCCAGAAACAACAGAUCCCUGUGUCUUGUGCUACUUGCCUAGGGUGACACCAUUCUUGAGCCUCCGUAUCUUGCCACCUGUCCCUUGAGACCUUCUCAUAAUUAGAGAAAGGAUGUCACAAGCUUUGGAUCUUUGGAUUUCAUUUGGAUUAGAGCCCUUAGUCUUACUCUAAGCCUUCCUGAUGUUCUCUCCCUAUCUCUGUCUCUGUCUAUCUCUCUCAGCUAAUGCUCAUACAAAAGUUAAGAGAAAAACCCAGGCUCGGGAUUUCUUUUUAGGGAAUGAAAAUGCCCUUUCACACUCACAGUUUGGAAACCUCAGGAAAAGGUCAGUCUGUUCUAACUACAUGGACAUCCAACCCCUCAUCUCACAGUUACCUCAAAAUGAAUGCAACUAUGCUUCCCAUGUGAAAGCCAAGGCCCAAAGCACUACCUGACCUUUCAUCCUUAACUUGGGCCAGCCACACAGCAGCUAGGGACUGUCUGCAAGACACCAGACGCUGCUAUACUGCUAUCCUGAUUUUUCUCUCCUUCAGUUUGUUUUCCCCCUUCCUUGCUGUCCCACAUGCUGGCCCUCACUCUUACACAGAUUACCUCUACCUCUGGAGCUUCUGGUAAAUCCAGACUUCUGCUGAAUACCAGGGGAUGCGCUUUCUCCCUUUAUCCUUGCAAAUACCAGCUGCCCCUGUUCACUUUCAAAGCGCCACUGUAAACCACACAGCCCUGGAUGGCAAAGGACUGAGUAAAGAUGGGAAUGGCAAACUUUCUGUAAGGUAGCACACAGAGCCUUAACUGUGCGUAACUAAAUGUGGGGCUCAAAAGUAGCUCGGCAACAGUAAGGUUUUCUGAAUGAGCAACAAUUAAAAAUUAAUUCAAUGUUAAGUGCAUAAUGAACCCAAGUUACUUUUGGUAGUGCUCACCCAAGUAGAGGAACAACUUCCGGGCAACCUUUGGGGUAACUUAACCUCUGAACGCACAACAGGCACGCAUUUGCGCAGUAGUGCAUGACAUCACACAAGAUACCGCAAGGUCUGCCCGAAACAGCACUAUUCAGUCCAGACUAUUUCCUGCCAUUGUAGCAUUUUUAUUGCACAUAAAGUUUUCUUUCUUAUAGAAACAUAGUGCGUUAACUAUGGGAAACAAAGACCUCAGUGUUUUUCUACUUUCAUUCCUUACUGCGUAAGUUAGCGUAUAUCUAGAUUGCUUGUAUUGCAAUGUUUGAUUUUAAAAAUUGUGUGUGAGUGGCUGUUCUGAGUUUUAUUUAAGAUGUGUUGAAUAAACGUUGAAAGAAAUAAAGCUAAAGAAACCCUGAUGUAGCAGACACUAAACCUCUUUGUGGCUUGGGAUUAAGAGAGAUUUUCAACAAUUUUGAAAUGCCCCCAAAUGUACCCAUGUCACUCUUCACUACAUAUUUAUGUGAGAGCAUUCUCAGUACUGAUAAAAUACAAACAUUGAUCAACCCAGAGACUCUGCAUUCUGCAACAUCAAGUAUUCAGCCAAUACAUAAUUAUCCAUGUAAAAAUAAAUAUUCCAUCUCAUUAGUAUGCACAUUUUUUACUUUAAUAGGUGACAAAAUUAUAUGUAUACCAAGGAAUUAUUCUAGAUAGCUUAGGCCAUCAACAUGGCCUAGAAGGUAAAGGUAUAUGCCCUGUAACCAUGGCAACCUGAGUCCAAGCCCCAGAAGUCCCUAUGUUAGAUAGAGACAGCCCACUUCACAAAGUUAUUCUCUGACCACCAGACACACUCUCUGGCUUGUGGGUCCACUCACACAUAUACUGUACUUCCAGACAUGUGCGCGCGCGUGUACACACACACACACAGACACACACACACAGACACACACACACAGACACACACACACACACACACUGAAGCAUUAAAAAACUUUAUGGUUAUUAUCAAUUAAUGUUUGAUAUAUGAUGUGCAAAGGUUUCUCAAAAAAAAAAAAGGUCUGAAUAGAAAAGUUGUAGAAACCUCAGUGUAGCAGACACUAAACCCCUUUGUGGCUGGACACCUUGUUGUUGACUUGGUUCUGACCUUGUAGUGCAAACGCAACCACCGAUAAUUGCUGAGCUCAUCAAUGAAUGUGCUCGAAUAAUGCUCCACUAACAUGGGAGUGUGAAUUCCACGUAAAUGCUCCACUAACACGGGAGUGUGAAUUCCACGUAAUUUUUGCAUGUCACCAAAGAGUAUUGUUUUAUCGGAAAAUGUCUAGCUAUUUAAAAUUCAAAAAGCCAUUACUAUCUCUGAGACCAUUCAAAAGUAUGGGGUGGAUUGGAUUUGGCUUGUGGGUCGAGGUUUGUGGACUCUUGGUUGAAACUGGUGCUUUCUAAUUUUACUGGGUAUGUACAACGCCGACAGUCCUGUUAAGAUGUCAUCAGCCUGGUGUGGUGGCACGAAUCUGUCAUCCUCCCACUGGGGAAGCUGAAGCAAGAUUGUGAGUUCCGGCCAGCCUGGGCUACAUAGUAAGAUCCUGCAUGCAACCCCUGAAAAGAGCAACCAAAUCAAUAAAGAUGCAGGCUAACUCGGGGUAUGGAAUAGAAAGCAGAGAGCUUGCAUCCUCCCCACCCUCGCUCACUCCCAGAGACAUUUCACUCCGUUUAGCAGACUAGCUCCCGGCAGUCUGAGUGGGAAAGUGCUGCCGUAAAGAAGCCCUGAAAGGUAGGUUAAUGACACAAGAAGAUGCUCGGAAAGCCAGGCACGGGGGAAAAGCAAGCUUGCAAGCUAAGUAAACUCUCUUCCCAGCAAUGGGAGUCUGGGCCUGUUCCUUAACCCUUUUCAGUUUCUGUCUAUUCAGCUGUAAGACAAGAUAAGGAUCUCUGCCUCAGGUAUGUGGUAUUGGAACUUAACUCAGUUACGGGAGCCUGAGCAGGCGCUCAGCCUUCGCUCCCACUUGGAAAUUAAAAGGUGAGACAUGAACCCUUGUAUGACAGAUUAAGGUGAACUUUAAUGUUGAGUGUGUCAGGGAAUUUCCCUCCUCCGUUCUUAGAUCCCAUUUGCCAGGGUCGUGGCCAGUCAUUCAUUCAGGAAAUAUUUGCUGAGUUCUCUGCUUCUGUCAGUGUGGGCAGCAGCACCCCAGGCGUUGGUUAAAAGCUGCCUUCUACAGUCCUGUGGAACUCUGUCAGAAGGCGGAACAGUGCUAAGGAGGUUUGUAUUCUGGGACAGAAGCUCCGGAAGAGGUUUGCAAUGGGAUUGGGCUAGUGCUGAGAAGGUCACAUGAGAACGGCUUCUCCAUGGCCUUGCUAAUGACUGUGUGUGGGAAACACGUUAGCUGACAGGCAAUCCCGCUAGGCUCCUUCUAGCUUACUUAUCGCCUGCCGCCAUUACCUGCCAGAUGCAGGUGUCUAUAAAAGGACUGCUCGCCACUCCAGUUCUCUCUGUGUGUCCCCACAUGUUCCUGGCUGGUCUCUGUCCCCACUCUGUCCUUCCUUGUCCGAGUUCUCUACCCUCGUGACUCUACUCCCAUCCCAUCACAACAACUAUGACAGACAACCUGUCUGUCUCUACCUUUGCUCUGGUCCUCAUUCUCCUCCCUUCUCCCAAAUAAACCUCCUUUAUACCAGAUCGAUUGCAUGGUGAUUUCUCAGGGACACCUUGGCACGGGCCUGCCAGGUACUCCCUCGCCGCCUUCUAUUUCAAAGCAGAAGGCAUACCUCAUCUGUGCCCUCCUCCUGGCAUACUGAGCCCACUCUCUGGUCUGUAUAUUUCUUCUUUCUCAAUUGUGUUGUGGGGGGGGGGCGGAUUUUCCCAUGUCUCCGCUUUUGUUGUUGUUGUUAUUAUUUUAUGUGGCUUUUGCCUGCCUAUAUGUCUGUCUGUGUACCAUGUGCCUGUCUAAUACCAUGGAGGUCAGAAGAAGGGAGUGGAUUCAUUGAAGCCGGAGUUACAGAUGGUUAUGAGCUGCCAUGUGGUUGCCAGAAACAAGGCCUGAGUCCUCGGUAAGAUCAGUAAGUGCUCUUAACCAUUGAUUCACCUCCCCAGCCCCGUGCUUCAUCUUCUCGAAGCGACCCUUCAUUUCACCUCCUCACUUGGGGCACUGUCCUCGUCCCCUGUCCCACGACUACACAGAGCCGCACUGAGGUACUCCCCACAGAUUGAUGCUGGGAGGCUUGGAGCAGAAGAGAGGCUGCAGAGAAAGCAAGAUGGCCGCUGCCCGUUCCUAGCCUAGCCGGGAGCCUAGGUUGGGGCUCUGUGGAGCGGUCUGCAGGCAGAAGCACAAUCUUUCCUUCUUCACCCCAGGAAGAGAAGUGGAGUUCUCACAGGGUUGAAUAAGAUGACUCUACCAGUUCUGCAGAGAGGAUCGAUAGCGGCUGAGGCUGGGGGGGUUAGGGGAGGAGAAGGGCGAGCACUUAAGCAGCUUGCGUGGGAACACACAAGUGCCGGUGGAUGCUGCGGAACAUGGAUCGUUGUGGUCUCCUCGAGUGGUUUGGGGGUUCUGGUAAAAGCUGAGCUACAUUUGGAAAAGUGCGUCUAUUCACAAGAAAUUGAUCUGAAGAGCCCUAUUCUGAUCACACAGACGUGGUAUUCACAGGACCCUGAGAUCAAGUCGGACGUUUAGUUCACAAGCGAUACAGCAAACCUGCGAGCGUUUCUCCAUUGUUUUCUGAACACCCAAUCUCAGUAAAUAGCGGAACAGCA